AUUAGUGGCCAUAGCAAAGGGGAUCACCUGAUACCAUUCCGAACUCAGUAGUUAAGCCCUUUAGCGCCGAAGAUACCAGAGAUNAAAUUGAUAUUAUUUUUGCAAUACUUAAAUUAGGUGCUUUUUGCU
rnacentral:rRNA from 1 species